UUAGUAGUGGCGAGCGAAAAGGGAAUAGCCCAAACCGGUAGAUUACGGUCUGCCGGGGUUGUGGGACAUCAAUAUGUAGUCGGAAAGCUAAUCCGAACGCUCUGGAAAGAGCGGCCAAAGACGGUGACAGCCCGGUAGGUGAAAGCGGAACGACGCUAGAUGUAUCCCGAGUAGGACGAGGCACGUGGAACCUUGUCUGAAUCGUGGGGGGACCACCCUCCAAGGCUAAGUACUCCCUAGUGACCGAUAGUGAACAAGUACCGUGGAGGGAAGGUAGAAAAGCCACCCCAGCGGAGGGGAGUAGAAAACGUCCCUAGAAACCGAAAGUCUACAAGCAGUGGAAGCACCAUGGCGCAAGCCGGUGCGACUGCGUACCUUUUGCAUAAUGGAUCGGCGAGUUACUCUUCGUGGCAAGCUUAAGACCGAAAGGUGGAGGC
rnacentral:rRNA from 1 species